rnacentral:rRNA from 1 species
UACGAAGGGGGCUAGCGUUGUUCGGAAUUACUGGGCGUAAAGCGCACGUAGGCGGAUUUGUAAGUCAGGGGUGAAAUCCCGGGGCUCAACCUCGGAACUGCCUUUGAUACUGCAAGUCUUGAGUCCGGAAGAGGUGAGUGGAAUUCCUAGUGUAGAGGUGAAAUUCGUAGAUAUUAGGAAGAACACCAGUGGCGAAGGCGGCUCACUGGUCCGGUACUGACGCUGAGGUGCGAAAGCGUGGGGAGCAAACAGG